AUGCAGUGUCCACUUCCUGCUGUUGGUUCUUCGUUGAUGCAGUCAGUCGGUCUUGAUAAGAAGUGUGAGCCCAAGGUUGUUGUCAAUGAUUUCCCAAAACCAACUUCUGCUGAAUUCAGUCGCUCUCUUGGUGUCCAAUCGCAUCCUGAAGAUUCCAUUGAACAGCUGAAAGUUAAAGAGGGUAUCUCUUCUGUUGGUGGACUGUCACCUCUGGUUCCGACUCGUUUGACGCAGUGGUUCUGUAACGUGGUAGAUGAUGUUGAGUGCUCUCAGUACGUUGUUGAACGAUUCUUGAGUUCAAUUGAUCAUGCGAAUGAUGAGGUUUGCAUUGAAAUGGUGAAGUUGCCUUCUUCUGUAGUUUCAAAGUCAAAUUUCUCCUCAAGCCACAUUAAUGAUCAGAAGGUAGUAGACGAUGUUCAAAUUGUGGGGAGUUCUAGUUUUGUUGAUAGAUGCAAGGACCUUUCAAGAUCUAAUGAUGCUGCUUACAACAAGCUUAACAACUUCAACUUGGUAGAAGCUCAAUCAACUAGUCGUUUCCCUAAGAAUCAAAAAGCUGGUGCUAGUCCAGAAGUAGAAAUCUUGUCUUCCGGGAAUGCCUCUAGAGAUCUCUCUCCUGCUCAAGUUCCUAAAGCUGAUGGCGCAUCUUUCAUUUUUCCUAGUGGUUCAUCUAGUGGUCAUCAACCUCGCAGGAUGUUUUUACCAGGUAGAUUUAACUCGGAUCCUUAUGUUGCUCAGGGUAACAAGUUUCCUAUCACAGUCAAAGAAAGGCGACACCACCUAGCAAUGGUGCAAAUUGGAAAUCAUGAAAGUUGGUGCAAGUAUGAAGCAAUUCGAUAUGACCGAGCCUACUAUAGCUAUCAUAAUCUUGCAACUUUGAAGUCAAGAGAACAUGUGGAUAAUUUCUUCAUUUUGUGCGUUUGUCGUUAUCUGUUCAAACAAACUCACCCAUCAGUAUCAAAGAAACAUUUCUUCUUCUCUUAUAUCGGGGAAACCAUCCUAAGAGGCUCUGAUGUUGACAUUGUAGGCAACGCUUUCACUGGUGCUAACAAUGCUUUCCCAAUGUGGAGAAGUAAUCUGUUAUUCUUUCCCAUUGGACAAGAGAACCAUUGGUUUACCUUUGUUGUUUGCUUGAAGGAGAGGGCCUUUGCAUUUCUUGAUUCUCUGUACGGGGCAAAGGAUCAUUUUCACCUGGGAAUCCGUGACAAAUUGAUUGCAAACUUCAUAACAAUCUGGGACCAGUUUGUGACUCCUUUGCUGCGUAAGCGCAUCGACUUUGAGAAUUUUGACAUUGUGUAUCCUACUCUUCCACAGCAAAAUAAUUGGGAUGAUUGUGGUGUUUUUACUGUCAUGUACCUAAAGCACUGGACUCCUAGGACCCCAAUUGGCAAUAUGUUUCGCGCAUCCGAUGUUGACAACAUAAGAAUCAGAUUGGCAAAUGAGUUGUACUUCAGUGGAUUCAACAGUGUCGACAAGACUUUUGUCACACACUUCUUUGAUGAUGUCAAGGCUUAG
rnacentral:rRNA from 1 species